rnacentral:rRNA from 1 species
AUUGAACGCUGGCGGCAGGCCUAACACAUGCAAGUCGAGCGGAUGAAGGGAGCUUGCUCCUGGAUUCAGCGGCGGACGGGUGAGUAAUGCCUAGGAAUCUGCCUGGUAGUGGGGAUAACGUCCGGAAACGGGCGCUAAUACCGCAUACGUCCUGAGGGAGAAAGUGGGGGAUCUUCGGACCUCACGCUAUCAGAUGAGCCUAGGUCGGAUUAGCUAGGUGGUGGGGUAAAGGCCUACCAAGGCGACGAUCCGUAACUGGUCUGAGGGGAUGAUCAGUCACAACUGAACCUAAACACCGGUCCAGCCUCCUAGGGAGGGCACAGUUGGGUAAAUUUGGAAAAUGGGGGAAAGCUUAUCCAAGCCAUGCGGGUGUGGUGAAGAAGGUCUUCGAUUGGUAAACCCCUUUAAGUGGGGAGAAAGGCAGUAAGUUAAUACCUUGCUGUUUUGACGUUACCAACAGAAUAAGCACCGGCUAACUUCGUG